CUACGGGGGGCAGCAGUGGGGAAUAUUGCACAAUGGGCGCAAGCCUGAUGCAGCCAUGCCGCGUGUAUGAAGAAGGCCUUCGGGUUGUAAAGUACUUUCAGCGGGGAGGAAGGGAGUAAAGUUAAUACCUUUGCUCAUUGACGUUACCCGCAGAAGAAGCACCGGCUAACUCCGUGCCAGCAGCCGCGGUAAUACGGAGGGUGCAAGCGUAAUCGGAAUUACUGGGCGUAAAGCGCACGCAGGCGGUUGUGUAAGUCAGAUGUGAAAUCCCCGGGCUCAACCUGGGAACUGCAUCUGAUACUGGCAAGCUUGAGUCUCGUAGAGGGGGGUAGAAUUCCAGGUGUAGCGGUGAAAUGCGUAGAGAUCUGGAGGAAUACCGGUGGCGAAGGCGGCCCCCUGGACGAAGACUGACGCUCAGGUGCGAAAGCGUGGGGAGCAAACAGGAUUAGAUACCCGGGUAGUC
rnacentral:rRNA from 1 species